GUACACUCUACGGGAGGCAGCAGUGGGGAAUUUUGGACAAUGGGCGAAAGCCUGAUCCAGCCAUGCCGCGUGCAGGAUGAAGGCCUUCGGGUUGUAAACUGCUUUUGUACGGAACGAAACGGCCUUUUCUAAUAAAGAGGGCUAAUGACGGUACCGUAAGAAUAAGCACCGGCUAACUACGUGCCAGCAGCCGCGGUAAUACGUAGGGUGCAAGCGUUAAUCGGAAUUACUGGGCGUAAAGCGUGCGCAGGCGGUUAUGUAAGACAGUUGUGAAAUCCCCGGGCUCAACCUGGGAACUGCAUCUGUGACUGCAUAGCUAGAGUACGGUAGAGGGGGAUGGAAUUCCGCGUGUAGCAGUGAAAUGCGUAGAUAUGCGAAGGAACACCGAUGGCGAAGGCAAGCCCCUGGACCUGUACUGACGCUCAUGCACGAAAGCGUGGGGAGCAAACAGGAUUAGAUACCCUAGUAGUCCCAUGA
rnacentral:rRNA from 1 species